UUGAACGCUGGCGGCAUGCCUUACACAUGCAAGUCGAACGGUAACAGGUCUUCGGACGCUGACGAGUGGCGAACGGGUGAGUAAUACAUCGGAAACGUGCCCAGUCGUGGGGGGAUAACUACUCGAAAGAGUAGCUAAUACCGCAUACGAUCUGAGGAUGAAAGCGGGGGACCUUCGGGCCUCGCGCGAUUGGAGCGGCCGAUGGCAGAAUUAGGUAGUUGGUGGGAAUAAAAAGCUUACCAAGCCGACGAUCUGUAGCUGGUCUGAGAGGACGACCAGCCACACUGGGACUGAGACACGGCCCAGACUCCUACGGGAGGCAGCAGUGGGGAAUUUUGGACAAUGGGCGAAAAGCCUGAUCCAGCAAUGCCGCGUGCAGGAUGAAGGGCCUUCGGGUUGUAAACUGCUUUUGUACGGAACGAAAAAAGCUUCUCCUAAUACGAGAGGCCCAUGACGGUACCGUAAGAAUAAGCCCCGGCUAACUCCGUGCCAGCAGCCGCGGUAAUACGUAGGGGGCGAGCGUUAAUUCGGAAUUACUGGGCGUAAAAGCGGCAGCGUAGGCGGCUUAUGUAAGUUAAGAUGUGAAAUCCCAGGGCUUAACCCUGGGAAUUGCCUUUGUAGACUGCAUCGGCUAGAAUUGUAGGUAGAGGUAAGGAUGGAAUUCCGAGUGUAGAGGUGAAAUGCGUAGAUAUGCGGAAGGAACACCGAUGGCGAAGGCGACUUACCUGGACACUAUAUUGACGCUGAUUGCACGAAAAGCGUGGGGAGCAAACAGGGAUUAGAUACCCUGGUAGUCCACGCCGGUAAACGAUGAUGACUAGCUGUCGGGGCGCUUAGCGUUCCGGUGGGCGCAGCUAACGCGUUAAGUCAUCCGCCUGGGGAGUACGGCCGCAAGGUUUUAAAACUCAAAGAAAUUGACGGGGGCCUGCACAAGCGGUGGAGCAUGUGGUUUAAUUCGAAGCAACGCGCAGAAACCUUACCAGCGUUUUGACAUGCCAGGACGGUUUCCAGAGAUGGAUUCCUUCCCUUACGGGACCUGGACACAGGUGCUGCAUGGCUGUCGUCAGCUCGAGUCGUGAGAUGUUGGGUUUAAGUCCCGCAACGAGCGCAACCCCUGUGAACUGUUGCCACGGAACCGAGAGGUUCCAGCACUCUGUUCAGACUGCCCCGCUCUAACGGGGAGGAAGGUGGGGACGACGUCAAGUCAGUAUGGCCCUUACGGCCUGGGCUGCACACGUACUACAAUGCCCAGCACAGAACGAUCCAAGACCGCGAGGUGGAGGAAAUCACUAAAAACUGGGCCCAGUUCAGAUUGAAGUCUGCAACUCGACUUCAUGAAGCCGGAAAUCGCUAGUAAUGGCGUAUCAGCUACGACGCCGUGAAUACGUUUCCCGGGGCCUUGUACACACCGCCCGUCACAUCAUGGGAGUCGCUUGUAGCCGAAAGUCGGCGCGCUAACUAGCAAUAGAGGCAGCCGCCUACGCUAUGAACGGUAACUGGGAUG
rnacentral:rRNA from 1 species